rnacentral:rRNA from 1 species
AGUGAACGCUGGCGGUAGGCCUAACACAUGCAAGUCGAACGGCAGCACAGUAAGAGCUUGCUCUUACGGGUGGCGAGUGGCGGACGGGUGAGGAAUACAUCGGAAUCUACUUUUUCGUGGGGGAUAACGUAGGGAAACUUACGCUAAUACCGCAUACGACCUACGGGUGAAAGCAGGGGAUCUUCGGACCUUGCGCGAUUGAAUGAGCCGAUGUCGGAUUAGCUAGUUGGCGGGUUAAAGGCCCACCAAGGCGCCGAUCCGUAGCUGGUCUGAGAGGAUGAUCAGCCACACUGGAACUGAGACACGGUCCAGACACCUACGGGAGGCAGCAGUGGGGAAUAUUGGACAAUGGGCGCAAGCCUGAUCCAGCCAUACCGCGUGGGUGCAGAAGGCCUUCGGGUUGUAAAGCCCUUUUGUUGGGAAAGAAAAGCAGCAGGUUAAUACCCCGCUGUUCUGACGGUACCCAAAGAAUAAGCACCGGCUAACUUCGUG